AUAACGGUCCUAAGGUAGCGAAAUUCCUUGUCGGGUAAGUUCCGACCCGCACGAAUGGUGUAACGAUUCUGGGCACUGUCUCAACGCGAGACUCGGUGAAAUUUAUAUUCCGGUAAAGAAGCCGGAUACUCAUAAUUAGACGGAAAGACCCCGUGAACCUUCACCGUAACUUAGCAUGGGGAUCCUAUUCAUCAUGUGUAGGAUAGCUGGGAGCCAGCGAGGCGUGGCCGUCAGGCUGCGCGGAGGCGCCGGUGAAAUACCAGCCCUGAUGAAUGGGAUUUCUAACCCUGGCCCUGAAGCGGGUCCGGGGACAAUGCUAGGCAGGCGGUUUGACUGGGGCGGUCGCCUCCCAAAGAGUAACGGAGGUGCGCGAAGGUCUCCUCACCGCGGUUGGAAAUCGCGGCGCGAGUGUAAAGGCACAAGGAGGCUUGACUGCGAGGGCCACAACCCGAGCAGGUGCGAAAGCAGGUCUUAAUGAUCUGAUGGUUCCGAGUGGAAGGGCCAUCACUUAACGGACAAAAGGUACUCCGGGGAUAACAGGCUGAUUUUCCCCAAGAGUUCACAUCGACGGGAAAGUUUGGCACCUCGAUGUCGGCUCAUCGCAUCCUGGGGCUGGAGCAGGUCCCAAGGGUUUGGCUGUUCGCCAAUUAAAGCGGUACGUGAGCUGGGUUCAGAACGUCGCGAGACAGUUCGGUCCCUAUCUGUUAUGAGCGAAGGAGAUUUGAGAGGAGCUGCCUUUAGUACGAGAGGACCGAGGUGGACGAACCUCUGGUGUGCCGGUUGUCCUGCCAAGGGCAAGCGCCGGGUAUCUAAGUUCGGAAGGGAUAACCGCUGAAAGCAUCUAAGCGGGAAGCCCACCUCAAGACAAGAUCUCCCCGGGGAUUAAUCCCCCUGAAGACUCCGGAGACACUAUCCGGUCGAUAGGAUGCAGGUGCAAGCGCGGCGACGCGUUCAGCCGAGCAUUACUAAUAAGUCGUGAGGCUUGACCAU
rnacentral:rRNA from 1 species